rnacentral:rRNA from 1 species
UACACUCCUACGGGAGGCAGCAGUGGGGAAUAUUGGACAAUGGGCGCAAGCCUGAUCCAGCCAUGCCGCGUGAGUGAUGAAGGCCCUAGGGUUGUAAAGCUCUUUCACCGGUGAAGAUAAUGACGGUAACCGGAGAAGAAGCCCCGGCUAACUUCGUGCCAGCAGCCGCGGUAAUACGAAGGGGGCUAGCGUUGUUCGGAUUUACUGGGCGUAAAGCGCACGUAGGCGGACUAUUAAGUCAGGGGUGAAAUCCCGGGGCUCAACCCCGGAACUGCCUUUGAUACUGGUAGUCUUGAGUUCGAGAGAGGUGAGUGGAAUUCCGAGUGCAGAGGUGAAAUUCGUAGAUAUUCGGAGGAACACCAGUGGCGAAGGCGGCUCACUGGCUCGAUACUGACGCUGAGGUGCGAAAGCGUGGGGAGCAAACAGGAUUAGAUACCCGUGUAGUCCCAUGA